ACCAAGCUUCCAGGAAAAGCCACUAAGCUUCAGUCUAGAGUUGACCGUACCGCAAACCGACACAGGUGGGCAGGAUGAAAAUUCUAAGGCGCUUGAGAGAACUCAGGAGAAGGAACUCGGCAAAUUAACACCGUAACUUCGGGAGAAGGUGUGCCCCGGUAGCGUGUAGAGACUUGCUCUCGAAGCGCGAUGGGGUUGCAGUGAAAUGGUGGCUGCGACUGUUUAAUAAAAACACAGCACUCUGCAAACACGAAAGUGGACGUAUAGGGUGUGACGCCUGCCCGGUGCCGGAAGGUUAAGUGAUGGGGUGCAAGCUCUUGAUCGAAGCCCCGGUAAACGGCGGCCGUAACCAUAACGGUCCUAAGGUAGCGAAAUUCCUUGUCGGGUAAGUUCCGACCUGCACGAAUGGCGUAACGAUGGCCACACUGUCUCCUCCUGGGACUCAGCGAAGUUGAAAUGUUUGUGAAGAUGCAAUCUACCCGCGGCUAGACGGAAAGACCCCAUGAACCUUUACUGUAGCUUUGCAUUGGACUUUGAACCGGUUUGUGUAGGAUAGGUGGGAGACUGUGAAGCCGGGACGCUAGUUUCAGUGGAGUCAACCUUGAAAUACCACCCUGAUUUGUUUGAGGUUCUAACCUUGGUCCGUGGAUCCGGAUCGGGGACCGUGCAUGGUAGGCAGUUUGACUGGGGCGGUCUCCUCCCAAAAGGUAACGGAGGAGUACGAAGGUACGCUUAGGGCGGUCGGACAUCGCCCACAAAGUGCAAUGGCAAAAGCGUGCUUGACUGCGAGACCCACAAGUCGAGCAGGUACGAAAGUAGGUCAUAGUGAUCCGGUGGUUCUGUAUGGAAGGGCCAUCGCUCAACGGAUAAAAGGUACUCUGGGGAUAACAGGCUAAUUCCUCCCAAGAGUUCAUAUCGACGGGGGAGUUUGGCACCUCGAUGUCGGCUCAUCACAUCCUGGGGCUGUAGUCGGUCCCAAGGGUAUGGCUGUUCGCCAUUUAAAGUGGUACGCGAGCUGGGUUUAAAACGUCGUGAGACAGUUUGGUCCCUAUCUGCCGUGGGCGCUGGAAAUUUGAAGGGGGCUGCUCCUAGUACGAGAGGACCGGAGUGGACGAACCUCUGGUGUACCGGUUAUGACGCCAGUCGUAUCGCCGGGUAGCUAAGUUCGGAAGAGAUAAACGCUGAAAGCAUCUAAGCGUGAAACUCGCCUUAAGAUAAGAUUUCCCGGAGUCUUGAACUCCCUGAAGGGUCGUCGAAGACCACGACGUUGAUAGGUCAGGUGUGGAAGCGCAGCAAUGCGUUAAGCUAACUGAUACUAAUUGCCCGUGCGGCUUGAUCCU
rnacentral:rRNA from 1 species